UCACAAGAAACCCUCUUUGCAGAAAAAAAAAAUUAAAAAAAACCUAUGUACCUAACUCGUUGUCUUCCUUGAGGACUUGGUCUCUGCUUCCGUUUGAUAGAGAGAGAGAGAGGAUGAGCUUCCAAGAUCUGGAAACUGGUUUCGGAUCUCCGGCGGCGAACCGUUUCUCCGGCGUGAGGCAACAGAGACCGUCGCGAGGGGAUGUCUCUCAGGAAGUCGCCUCCGGGAUUUUCAGGAUCAACACCGCCGUCAAUUCCUUUUUCCGCCUCGUCAAUUCCGUCGGGACUCCAAAGGAUACCCUUGAAUUGCGAGAGAAGCUACAAAAGGCAAGGUUACAUAUCACAGAAUUAGUGAAGAACACUUCGGCCAAACUUAAGGAAGCUAGCGAAGCAGACCUUCAUGGAGGAGCUAGUCCGAUUAAGAAGAUUGCUGAUGCCAAACUUGCAAAGGAUUUCCAGUCGGUUCUUAAAGAGUUUCAGAAAGCCCAGAGACUUGCAGCCGAGAGAGAAAUAACAUAUGCUCCCAUAGUUUCUAAAGAAAUACCCACCAGUUUUAAUGCGCAGGAACUUGAUAGUCAUUCUUCCACAACUUCCCAGCAGCAAUCUCUUCUUCUAGAAUCUAGAAGGCAAGAGGUUGUCAUGUUGGACAAUGAGAUAACCUUCAACGAAGCCAUCAUUGAGGAAAGGGAGCAGGGGAUAAGAGAAAUACAAGAACAGAUUGGGGAAGUGAAUGAAAUAUUCAAAGAUUUAGCUGUGCUGGUUCAUGAUCAAGGAAUUGUGAUCGAUGACAUCAGCUCUAACAUUGAGAAUUCCCAUGCUGCGACCGCACAGGCCACCACCCAACUUAAGAAAGCAUCCAAAUCUCAAAGAUCUAACUCAUCCCUGGCGUGUCUACUCAUCCUCAUUUUUGGAAUCGUUCUACUCAUCGUCAUCAUUGUAGUUGUGGCCUGACCCUUCCAUCUCAUCACAGCUAAUCAACCAUGGGUUUCACAUCUGCCUCCUGAAAAAGAAAAAUCCCGACGAGGUCGACAACGACGAUAUGGAUCACUGCGUGGCACAAGACCACCCCAAUCGAAAGGAAGUUUCGUGUAAAAAAGAUAAGAUGCCGAAAGAGUGCCGGACGAAUGACAUUCGGACAGCCAAACAACACAACAGACAAUCGACACUCUACAGCCAAAAGAGAAGAUUAUCAUUACACAACGACAAUGUACUCGUUUGUCACUGUUGAAACACAUAGGAACUCACUAUCCCCUUGGGUUACAUACAACCUUUCUGUUUUUUUUUUCAAGUUUUUUGUGCUAUCAUAUCA